rnacentral:lncRNA from 1 species
GACCCCGCUCCGUGCCCAACCCUGGAGAACGCUUUGCAGCUGCUUUGUGGGGCUGAUUUGCCAUCAAAAAACCCCAAACCCGGUCUCCCCCGGUGCCAUCCAGCUUUGGGGUUCCUCCUGGACAUCCAGGACGGGGGCAGAAACCGCCGGCAUUCUCUCCAAAACCCCCCUGAGCCGCUCCGGUCCGAGCGGCACCCGCCGGCCCAUCCUAUUAAUAGCAGCUGCCCUCAGGGAGCCGUCCGGACGUCUAUAAUAAUAAAGCGAAUGAUGUUUAUUUCUGGACAUAAUGUUCCUCUUUUUUUUGCAGCAGGCAGAGGCUGAGGCAUGCGGCGUUGCCAAGGUUUUGCUGGCCCCAGCAAUGAUUAACGCGGCCGCGGCGCAUGCCCGCCGGAGGGGGGGGACACCCGAGCAGCCCCCUCGGCUCCCGGCGCGUUGGCACCGGGCGUUGUCGUGGCCUUGGGGACGAAAAAAAAAAGGAGUUGGAGCCCCCGUUGCGUCCGUCAGCUUGCUCCUGGAAGCAUCCUUGGGGCUUGCAAAGGGUUUGCUUCGGGUUUAGGGUCCCACGUAGGGAGAGGGAAUUGGGAACGCCGCUGCCGCGCGAGGAUUUUGGCUCCUGGAGUGGUGUCCCCCCGGUUGGGUGUCACGGCACCGUCCCGUGUGCUGCAGGAAUUGUCCCCAAAGUGCUUCUCCUUGCACCGUGGGACACCAGGAGGUGUCCCGCGGAAGGGGUGCGGGCUCUGGUGCCAAACCAAAUGCCCGAGGGGUAGGGGAAAGUCCGAAUUUUUGGGGGGUUUUGGAGAGCAGGCUCCGUUUCCAAGCUCCUGGGGUGAUCGGGGACGCAGCACCCUGGCUCCAAAUCUCCCCAAAAGCAGGCAAAAAACCCCACACCCCUCCUUCCUCUGUCGGCAGGAGGUCUCCCAGGACCUGCCCCAGAGCGUCCCAGCUUUCCAUAGGGUCCUCCCACGGCGUGCUCGCGGUGAACCCACAGAGCUGGGAGUUUCCAGCAGGAUUUUCCCCCCUAAAAAGCCACCGGCGCACCGAGUUCUCGGCGCUGGGGAAGCAGGGGAAGGGGCAUCACCCCUCUGGCUACAAACCCCACUGAUUUGGGGCGGUGAGAACAGUCCCGAGCUGCUCCAGGUGGGAAUUCCCC